GUAGGUGGCAAGCGUUGUCCGGGAAUUAUUGGGGCGUAAAGCGCGCGCAGGCGGUUCUUUAAGUCUGAUGCGAAAGCCCACGGGCUCAACCGUGGAGGGUCAUUGGAAACUGGAGAACUUGAGUACAGAAGAGGAAAGCGGAAUUCCACGUGUAGCGGUGAAAUGCGUAGAGAUGUGGAGGAGCACCAGUGGCGAAGGCGGCUUUCUGGUCUGUAACUGACGCUGAGGCGCGAAAGCGUGGGGAGCAAACAGGAUUAGAUACCCUGGUAGUCCACGCCGUAAACGAUGAGUGCUAAGUGUUAGGGGGUUUCCGCCCCUUAGUGCUGCAGCUAACGCAUUAAGCACUCCGCCUGGGGAGUACGGCCGCAAAGGCUG
rnacentral:rRNA from 1 species